GACAAUCACCACUAUUAGUUAAUUGCUAUUUUGUUUCAGCUGUAAUCGGUUAUAGGUUUUGUAUAGCCGGUUAUAGGUCCGAGAAUCAUGUUUUUCUGUUAUUUAGUUUAUGUAAAUUAUGUCUCAGUCAACUUGUAAUAUUUUUAUAAAUACCUUGGAGGCAUCCUCUUCUAUGAUAACGGAAAUAUUCUCACCCUCAAU
rnacentral:lncRNA from 1 species